UUGCAUCUAAAAAGAAAUCAUGGGCCUUGGAAGCUGGUUGAGCACCCAAUUAGUGUCACGUAAAGAUACUUUCUAUGAGGUUAGUGUUGCCACUACUGUGGCAGGGUGACUGAAUUUUAAUAUUUUUGCAAUGCCGGAAUGGAAACUGCAGCUUGUUGUUACUAUGUAGUAAAUACUUCAAUUAAAAUGGAUGGAAUCUAGAGUACUUCGGUUUCUAUAUAUUUAGUCAAGUUCCUCAACAAUUUAAUUUGACUUAAUAUCUCUUAUAUGCCAGUUAAGCAGUUUAAUACGUAGUCUACUAUAUUUGAGUUUGUUAUCGUUACUGUUCGUUUGAUGAUUAUGAUUGAUACAACAAAUUUUGGUUUACAAAUUAGUAGCAUUGUAAAAUACUAUUCAACCUAACUAUGUUAGUUGAAUGUUACCCUGUUAUAAUCAGUUUGUCUAUAAUGUUUAUCCUUAGUGAAUGCUUCUGCUUCAUGAUCAGUCAUUAAACAUCAAUGUGUGACUCACCGUACAUAGGGUAUUUCUUUACGUGCUAUUUUAGAUGCUUUGAGGAAGCCUGCAGAUUCAGAAGUUUGUUCCUUCCUAGUUUAUCAGUUAAUGUUAUUAUUGUGAAUUUCAGUUUUACCUUGGAUUUAUAACAUUCUGAUGUUUUCCUUUGAGAGUAUGGCAUUGGAGCAGUUUGUGGACCAUCUCAUUGAGUGGCCACAGUAUAGAGAGGGCACUCAACAGUAUUUCAGCGGCUUAUACCGAACCUGAUGAUGGCCAUAGUGCCAAUACUGCUCACCGACGCGGUCAUAUUCAAUCUUCAGCUCCACAUAUAGAGUCACUCAGUGGUGCUUUGCUAUCAAUACAAUCUGCCUCAUCGGAUUUACCACGGUCGUCUAAAUCAACCUCAGCAAGUAAAUUAUCAGGUUCCUGCAUUGCGGAAAAAAGCUUGGUAUAGAUUCAAGACAGUUAAAUGCUCCCUCCAAUAACUCCCUCCAAGGCAAGUUACUAGAAGGGGCAACUUGAGCUUAAUACAAAGCUCUUGACAAAUGCCGUCUUAUAUGCUUCAAAUUAUCUGUCAUUCAUCAUGAAGUGUGUUUAUAGGGUUUGUAUUUUCUGUAUGUAUUUUGUGUAGUGCAUGCAUUGUGUAAUGUUUUUUUGUAUGUAUGUGUAAAGUGUGUGUAUUUGUGUA